rnacentral:rRNA from 1 species
CCCGCACAAGCGGUGGAGCAUGUGGUUUAAUUCGAUGAUACGCGAGGAACCUUACCUGGGCUCAAAUGUAUGUUUGACGUAUUCUGAAAGGGAUACUUCUUCGGACAAUAUACAAGGUGCUGCAUGGUUGUCGUCAGCUCGUGCCGUGAGGUGUCGGGUUAAGUCCCAUAACGAGCGCAACCCCUAUCAUUAGUUGCCAUCAGGUCAAGCUGGGGACUCUAAUGAAACUGCCUACGCAAGUAGUGAGGAAGGUGGGGAUGACGUCAAAUCAGCACGGCCCUUACGUCCAGGGCUACACACGUGCUACAAUGGCCGGUACAAAGGGCAGCUACCUGGUGACAGGAUGCAAAUCUCCAAAGUCGGUCUCAGUUCGGAUCGGAGUCUGCAACCCGACUCCGUGAAGUUGGAUUCGCUAGUAAUCGCGCAUCAGCCAUGGCGCGGUGAAUACGUUCCCGGGCCUU